CCGCGCGGCUCCCGGGGCCUGGCCACAGCGCUCUGUCAGCUGACCCAGGCGGGGACCAAACCCAGAAGCCUGGUCCCGCGGCGGAUCUCGACGUGACGGCCCGCGCCAGCCUGAGUCACCAGGAAGGAGUUGUGACCGCCGCUCCGGAGGCUUGGAGUGGGUGGAAUCCUCAAGCCAAGACGCUCCGCGCCACAUUCUGCUCAGAACCAACCCUCGCCUGCUCUGCACGCCCGCGCCUCCUCUCCCACGCCGCCCUCGCGGGCUGGGGCCCUCCCCCUGCAGCCAUGGUCCGGAGGAAACUGGGCCCUGGCAACUUCUCUAACUGCCCCAAUGGAUCCAGCCAGUGGAUAUGGGAUGUGUUCGGCGAGUGUGCCCAGGACGCCUGGGACGAGGCCAGCGUGGGCCUGGGCUUGAUCUCCAUUUUCUGCUUUGCAGCAUCCACCUUCCCCCAGUACAUCAAGGCCUGCAAGACAGGCAACAUGGACCAGGCCCUGUCCCUGUGGUUCCUCCUGGGCUGGAUCGGCGGAGACUCCUGCAACCUCAUCGGCUCCUUCCUGGCUGACCAACUGCCCCUGCAGACCUACACAGCCGUGUAUUACGUUCUGGCCGACCUGAUGAUGCUGACGCUGUACUUCCAUUACAAGUUCAAGAAGCGGCCCUCUCCCCUAUCUGCCCCCAUCAAUUCUGCGCUCCUGUUCCUCUUGGGGACUGUGUGUACCAUGCCCCUGCUGAGCAGCACCAGCCCUGCGGCUGCCCCGAGGGAGGGCUUCCGGGGGCGGACACUCCUGUCUGUGGAGCCGGGCAGCAAGGUGAGGCGCAGCCCUUCACAAAACAGGAGAUCGUGGGCUUCGUCAUCGGCUCCGUCUCCAGUGUGCUCUACCUGCUGUCCAGGCUGCCUCAGAUCCACACCAACUUCCUACGGAGGUCGACCCAGGGCAUCUCCUACUCGCUGUUCGCGCUGGUUAUGCUGGGGAACACGUCGUAUGGGCUGAGCGUGCUGCUCAAGAACCCCGAGGUCGGCCAGAGCAAGGGCAGCUACGUGCUGCACCACCUGCCCUGGCUCGUGGGCAGCCUGGGCGUGCUGCUGCUGGACACGGUCAUCUCCAUCCAGUUCCUGAUGUACCGGAACAACACCACCUCCCCCGAGCAGGAGCCCCUCCUCCCCAGCUGACUGGCACCCCAGGAGGACAGGGACCUCCAGGUGCCAGCCCGGGAAGGGAGAGGUGUGGGCAGUGGGGCUGCCGCCGCCCCUGGAUUGGGCCUUGGUGACAGCCUGUGGGAGGCCUAGAAUUCCUGGCCCAACUGCCUCCCCACCAGAUUGACUGGCUCGCCCGGAAGCAGGACGGUCCCCAGGGCUGACCCACCCACCCUGGGUCCAAGGCAGCUGUCCCAGGGAGCUUCGAGGGAGGGGCUGCAGCAGAGAGCCCAGGGCCUCAGAGGACAGUGCCUCGCCCUCCACCCACUACCUCAUCCUGCCUGGCUGUCCCGGGGCCACAGCUGCAGGUGCACCGGGGCUGCCCGGGUGCCUCGAGACCACCUAGUAAACGCUACUCCCAGCACCGCCUGUUUCCGUUGCUCCUUCCCAAGGUGCCAGUGGUCUGGGCUGCCCUGGGGAACAUGGUGGCCAGUGUGAGAGAGCCAGAGGGGAGGACCCGUCUGCCGGCCCAGCCUCCCGGGGCCCCUGUUUUCUUUGACCUCCAUCUCGGUGCCCUCUCUGUGACACACCCCACCCGGUGUGGGGACACAGGAGCCAGAAUGACACCCCAGGGGAGUCCUAUGCCUGGUGCUCAGGAAGAAGCAGAAUAGGGUUUAGCUCGGUUGGCAUCGUGGCUUUCCAGUGCCUCAGUGACCUGUGAAAUGGGCCGUCGAUGCCACCUCUUCCUAAGUCCUUUUAAGGAUUAAAUGAAGUUUAGCUCCAAACUCUGGCAUGUAGUAAUUGCUCAGCAGAGGUUAGCCUGGGUGAUUUUAGUUGGAAAAGAGGGACAGGUCUCCCUGGAGACGGGUGGCUUCCUGGAGGAGGCGACAGGCAGGAGGGGAGGACAGCGAGGUGGGCAGGGCUGCCCGCCCAGCGCCGCUCCCUGGGCCCUGCGCUCAGUUUGUUUCCUGGCAUCGUUCCGAGGCCCCUUACCAUCGGUCAGCCCCAUGGGUGCCCCGGGUGAGAGGGGCCAGCUCCUUGGCCGGGUCUCAGCCCCACGUACCUCGCCCUAAGUCCAGGAAACCGAACCCGGGGCUCCGGGCCUCCUGGUGGGCUUUCCUUUCAGUCUCCCCACGCUGCUCUCGUGGAAGAGGGCCUGGGCCGCAGGCAGCCUCCACCAGGCCGCGCUGCCAGGCCUGGGCUGCGGUUCCUGCCCUCCAGGAAGGAGACAGUGGCCAGGCCCUGGUGGUAGGAACUGUGACCGGCGGGAGUGUGCCACGGGACUGGGGAAGUAAGGCUGGGCGGGCUCCGCGGAGGACUGGGCUUAGGAUUUGAGCAGGCGCUUUAUCCCCAGCUGCGGCCCAGGCCCUCCUACUUUUUAUUUUGCAACAAGGGCUUGAACUUACACCCCUCCCACCUCGGCCUCUGGAGCAGCCGGGCUUACAGGCGUCCCCUCUGCACCGGCCCCCAGCUGAGGCCAGCCGGAGGCCAAUUCCAGGAGGAGGGGCAGGACCUGGCUGCUCCCACUUACCCAGAGCCUUCCUGAAUGAAGACCAGGACCAGGAUCUGGGGACAGGGCUUGUGCAGGUAGCUCGUGGGUGGAGAGGGUUUGGUUGGGGAGUCUCUAUGGCUGGAGAGAGUGAGGGGGCAUUGGGGUCAGGUGGGCAGUGAGGCAGGUAUGGCCAGCGUCCUCAGCCCCAUCUGCUGGCCAGCCCGUGUCCCUCAGUGUUGUCCUCACAGCCCCCCGUCUGUGCCACGACCCCUCUGAUUAUGAUGGCCACUUUAGACCGCAAGAGGAGUUGCGACUUGCCUAAGCGGCCCCUGUUUGACACACUGGGCCCUCAGGCUUGAUGGUGUCCUUUACCGGCUAGAGCUGAGGCCUGGGGGAGGGUCCUGCUCCCUCCCUGGCGGGUGUCCUGGGCAUGCCCGUGCCGUCCAGCCUUACCCUGCUGGGCUCCGUCCCUCCUUCCAUCCCAAGCAGCCUUUCCAUGAGUCUCUGGACCACAAGGGAGGGUAUCCCUGGUCACUGCUGGCCACAGCCGAAGCUUGCUUCAGGUACUGUGCCAGCUUGACAUCUGACUCCCCCUGGGGCCAGGUCCUGGCUCCGUGCCACUCACCUGGGGCCGGGUGGCACCGGUCAUCCUGAAGACGCAGUGCUCAGUGUAGCAGUGUGAACCCAGGGCAGGCCAGACGAGAGCUGGGCAGGGGAGAAAACUGAGACCACCAGCCCCUGCCUGCAGGAGCCCCGGUCUGGUGGGAGUGCCUGUCCCUUCCCCGGGAGGUGCCCGGGCUGAUGGGAGCUCUCGCUUUCGGGCAUGCCGUUCUCUGAGAGCUGUGGCCCCUUCCCUCAGGAAGCCCCAGUCUAACGGGGGAGGCGCGGCCCCUGCCCCUGGGGUGUCCUGUGUGAUGAGCGCUGGAGGACAGCUCCUCAGACCUGGCCCUCCUCCACCUUGGAGGCUUCAUUCACUGCUCCAAGUGAGUCACCCUGGGGGGUGGGCCGUGUCAGGCGGCACACACCCCUGAUCCCAGUGACUGGGAGGCUGAGGCAGGAGGAUUGCAAGUCAAAGCCAGCCUCAGCAGAGUGAGGCGCUGAGCAUCCCAGUGAGACCCUGGCUCUAAAUAAAAUGUAAAAAGAGCUUGGCGGCUGGGGCUGGGGCUCAGUGGUAGAGCGCGUGCCUAGCGCACGUGAGGCGCGGGGUUCGAUUCUCAGCACUGCGUAUAAAUAAAUGAUUAAAAUAAAGGUUCAUCAAUAACUAAAAAAAAGUGUGUGUGUAAAACAAAGAAAUAAAAAGGUCUGGGGAUGUGA